rnacentral:lncRNA from 1 species
GAGCACUCUCAGGAAGAGCUUAGCAGUCUAACUCCUGUGCACUAAUGUCCUAUCACAGCUGGCACCAUUUGAAAAGUGAGUUUCCUUCAGGUUCUCCAAUUUUUUGCCUGUGAGUCUCUUAAAGUUAAUAUGAUUUCUCCAUUUAUGGGUCCUAGGAUUAUUCCAGUGAAGAGCUGAGCAAUCUCCCUUUUCUGGACAAAUUUCAUUUUGAAAAGUUCACUGUUUUUUCAGAAAGGUGAGUUUCCAGAAUUGAAUUUGCUUAAGAAAUUUAUAGAGGUUGGGGGUGGGAGCAUCAGUCAGGGCAAUCCCGGACUGGUGCCUCCUGAUGGGCCAAUGAAAUGAUUCCACUGUCCUCCUGAGGCAUUUUUCUUUGCAAGUGCUCCUAUGCAUCUGUACCAGUAAAAAGAAUAAAUAACUCACUUCUAUAAAGAAAGCUGUACAUUUUGGGCCACUUUUGAGCCUCUGAGCAAACCAUGAGAUUCGUAAUUUUUUUAUCCCAAUGUUGCAGGGGAGAGACCAGAGAAUAACAAAGGUUAAGUGACUUGAUUAUCUUGAGAGGUCUGGUAAGUGGAUGAGUUGGGAGGUAAAGGGAGGGACCCUGCAGGUCAGGUCUUGAACACCAAGUGAUUUUGAAAGCUUCAUAACAUUUGUUGUUUUUCUUCCUCUGCCACAUACGUAUUCACUGUUGCCAUCCUAUAUUACCCUAAAAAUUCAGAAUCCAUAGAGCUACAGGUAAAGGCCUUUUCAAUGGCCGUUUCCUUGAAAGCCCCUUAUCAGACAGGUGUGGAAAGUAAGGCUGACAGGGUUUUCAAAAGCCUAAUCAGGAGAAUACAGCUGACAUACACACUAAGUGUCCUGCUGACUCCAGAUGCAGCCCACUGGAUACUACCUUGAGUGUGCCUCUACCUUGGUCAGAUUUGAUUCUUCCUUGUAAUUUCUCUUCUCUUGACUCCAUCAAAUGAAGGCAGCAGGAAAAUAAAUUGCAACUAGUUGGGAUGUUACAGAGUUGGGACAAUGUGCAGGGCUACCCACAUGGUCAGUCUUGCCAUCUCUUUUCCUCUAAGCCCCAGAGGCUUCACUUCAUUUCUGAACUUCCCAUUCCUAGGACUGUGUUAACCUGGAAGAUUUCAGAAGUCACCCUCAUGUUCACUAUUGCAACCAUCUCACUUCCCUUUGAAAGGAGGGAGAUACCCUGGAAGAUUUGAGAAGUGGCCCUCUCAUUCACAAAUGUCCUCAGGAUUAUUCCCAGGAAGAGCUGAGCAAUCUUUCUCUUGUGGACAAAUUUCCUUUUGACAAGCUCACUGUUUCUUUUGAAAGGUGAGUUUCCAGAUUUGCAUGUGUUUCAGAAAUUUGAAUAGCUUAUGUCUGGGGCCUUAAGUCAG